GUGCUCGCUUCAGCAGCACAUAUACUAAGAAUUAGAACAAUACAGAGAAGAUUAGCAUGGCCCCAGUGCAAGGAUGACAAGCAAAUUCUUGGAGCAUCCCAAAUUCUU
ensembl:snRNA U6 U6 spliceosomal RNA